CCGGUGCGGCUGUCCUGUGGUUAUCCGUCCUUGAAAGUGUGGCAAGUAAUGGGCUAAUCGGAUUAGGUCAUUAGGUACAGACCAAUCAGAAGCAAAUGCUCAUUUUUUGAAGUACUGUAUUAGUUGCUGUAUGUUGGCUUCAUACACAGUUUACAUACUACAGAAUUUAUCAGCACUAUCAAAUAAAUGGUUUUCAAUCCAUUGAAAGGAAUUCAUGUUUGUUGCAAUAUAUUGUUUGUGGUAGACACUGGGAAAAAACCAACUAUUGAAUGUGUAUUUAUUUGUCUCCUGGUACAAAACUGAUGGAAGAGCAGCCAUGAUGAAGCAGUAAAAAGGUUCUUGGAUACCUUGCUUCAAUACCUCUGGUUGGACAAGAAAAGACCUGGCUAAGGAUAGUAGAGGGUCAAAUAAUUUAUCACCAAGAAAGUUACUGAUUUAAACCGAAUCCUUUAACGCGAAAGAUUCUUAAUUAUGCUAAGUGUGCAAUAUUAGGUCAGUUAAGUUAUUCCUCCAUGGUUAAGACGACAGUAAUGCAUGAUAGGUAUAUUUUGAAAUCUACACAUAGUAACUGUUUUUAUAAUUAUUACAAAAACUCUGAUUUAAACAUGCCUGUAUAGCUACGAUACAUAAUAUUUAAUGUUUUUUGCAAGUUUCAAUUAAAGAAAAAUGGUCAAGUAUAUUUUAAACUCAGUGUAUUUUGUAAGUUUAAAGGAAUAAACAUUGACAUUGACUCAACAUUAAAAAUUUACAUUGAAUUAACAUUGAACAUAUUACAUUGAAUCGACGUUGAAAUUUACGUUGAUGAAAACUUUCAUUCACAACCAAAAUUCAAAGUUGAUUCAACAUUGAUCAUUUGAUGUUAUUAUAACAUUAAAUA